UACAGAGGGUGCAAGCGUUGUUCGGAAUUAUUGGGCGUAAAGCGCGUGUAGGCGGCUUUGCAAGUCGGGUGUGAAAGCCCUCAGCUCAACUGAGGAAGUGCGCCCGAAACUGCAGAGCUUGAGUGCCGGAGAGGGUGGCGGAAUUCCCCAAGUAGAGGUGAAAUUCGUAGAUAUGGGGAGGAACACCGGUGGCGAAGGCGGCCACCUGGACGGUA
rnacentral:rRNA from 1 species